UAUCAUAUUCUUUUCCAAAAAGAAAAAAACAAAGCAAAUCAGAUCCAAAAUAAACAAAGCAUAUCAUAUUCUUUUUCAAAAGAAAGAAACAAAGCAAAUCAGAUCCGAAAUAAACAAAUCAUAUCAGAUCCAAAACAAACAUAAUAUAAUAAACUCUCUCAUUACAUUACCUUCAUGCCUUUCAAUCUCAGGCAUAGAAGAGAUCUCGUAACUCAGGACUCGUUGAUUCAGUGCCCAUGAGUCCCGCGAUCCAGAUCUUACACCGCGGCUCGUCGAUGCAUGGAGUAGCGUUGUUGGAGAUGUGUCGGAUCUGAAAAGUUGAAGAGAGAACGGUCGAUAAACGUGAUGUGAGGUUGCGUUUGGUUAACAAAGAUGAAAACCGAAACAUUCUGAAGGUCACGGUGUUCCGAAGAAGAGUGACAGAGAGAGAGAGGUUGGGUUCAAUCUUUUUCUUUUUUGUUUUGAAGGAAGGUUGAGUUCAAUCUUAGUGAAAUUUUAUAAAAAUUCCGCAUAACUAUUUGUAAGUCAACCCAAAAUUUAUGGAUUGUCUCCAAAAUUCAAAACUUGUGUACUAUGAGUUGAAUUAAGGUGUUUA
rnacentral:lncRNA from 1 species